rnacentral:rRNA from 1 species
GCAUAUCAAUAAGCGGAGGAAAAGAAACCAACAGGGAUUGCCCCAGUAACGGCGAGUGAAGCGGCAACAGCUCAAAUUUGAAAUCUGGCCCCUAGGGCCCGAGUUGUAAUUUGCAGAGGAUGCUUUUGGCAAGGUGCCUUCCGAGUUCCCUGGAACGGGACGCCAUAGAGGGUGAGAGCCCCGUCUGGUUGGAUGCCGAGCCUCUGUAAAGCUCCUUCGACGAGUCGAGUAGUUUGGGAAUGCUGCUCUAAAUGGGAGGUAUAUGUCUUCUAAAGCUAAAUACCGGCCAGAGACCGAUAGCGCACAAGUAGAGUGAUCGAAAGAUGAAAAGCACUUUGAAAAGAGGGUUAAAUAGUACGUGAAAUUGUUGAAAGGGAAGCACUUAUGACCAGACUUGGACCCGGUGAAUCAUCCAGCGUUCUCGCUGGUGCACUUUGCCGGGCUCAGGCCAGCAUCAGUUUGCCCCGGGGGAUAAAGGCUUUGGGAAUGUGGCUCCCUCGGGAGUGUUAUAGCCCAUUGCACAAUACCCUGGGGCGGACUGAGGUUCGCGCAUCUGCAAGGAUGCUGGCGUAAUGGUCAUCAGUGACCCGUCUUGAAACACGGACC